GCGCGAAACCUCCGCAAUGCACGCAAGUGCGACGGGGGGACCCCAAGUGCCACUCUUAACGGGGUGGCUUUUCAGGAGUGUAAAAAGCUCCUGGAAUAAGGGCUGGGCAAGACCGGUGCCAGCCGCCGCGGUAACACCGGCAGCUCGAGUGGUAGCCGCGUUUAUUGGGCCUAAAGCGUCCGUAGCCGGUCCGAUAAGUCUCUGGUGAAAGCCCACAGCUCAACUGUGGGAAUCGCUGGAGAUACUAUCGGACUUGAGGCCGGGAGAGGCUGGAGGUACUCCCAGGGUAGGGGUGAAAUCCUAUAAUCCUGGGAGGACCACCUGUGGCGAAGGCGUCCAGCUGGAACGGACCUGACGGUGGGGGACGAAAGCCAGGGGCGCGAACCGGAUUAGAUACCCGGGUAGUCCUGGCCGUAAACGAUGCGGACUUGGUGUUGGGACGGCUUUGAGCUGUCCCAGUGCCGAAGGGAAGCUGUUAAGUCCGCCGCCUGGGAAGUACGGCCGCAAGGCUGAAACUUAGAGGAAUUGGCGGGGGAGCACCACAACGCGUGGAGUCUGCGGUUUAAUUGGAUUCAACGCCGGACAUCUCACCAGGGGCGACAGCAGGAUGAUGGCCAGGUUGAUGACCUUGCUUGACAAGCU
rnacentral:rRNA from 1 species